UGUACAGGUGGGUCCACUAGAUGCUGUGG
rnacentral:piRNA from 2 species